rnacentral:rRNA from 1 species
AGCAGCCGCGGUAAUUCCAGCUCCAAUAGCGUAUAUUAAAGUUGUUGCAGUUAAAAAGCUCGUAGUUGAACUUCGGGGUCUACCCAUUGGUCAGGCUUAAUUGUCUGCACUGGUGAGAUGGAUCUCUACCUUCUGAGGAACUUUCAUGCCAUUUAUUUGGUGUGGUUGGAAAUCAGGACUGUUACUUUGAAAAAUUAGAGUGUUUAAAGCAGACUAUCGUCUGAAUACAUUAGCAUGGAAUAAUGAAAUAGGACGGACUGAUUCUAUUUCGUUGGUUUCUAGGAUCACCGUAAUGAUUAAUAGGGAUAGUUGGGGGCAUUAGUAUUCAAUUGUCAGAGGUGAAAUUCUUGGAUUUAUUGAAGACUAACUACUGCGAAAGCAUUUGCCAAGGAUGUUUUCAUUAAUCAAGAACGAAGUUAGGGGAUCGAAGACGAUCAGAUACCGUGUAGUCUUAACCAUAAAACUAUGCCGACUAGGGAUCGGACGAAGUUAAUUUUAAUGACGCGUUCGGCACCUUA